GCGAGGUGGUGCCAAUCCUAGAAAAUUCUUCGUAGUCCGGAUUGGAGUCUGCAACUCGACUCGAUGAAGUCGGAAUCGCUAGUAAUCGCGAAUCAGCAUGUCGCGGUGAAUACGUUCUCGGGUCUUGUACACACCGCCCGUCAUACCAUGGAAGUGGAUUGCACCAGAAGUAGAUAGUCUAACCUUAGGGAGGGCGUUUACCACGGUGUGCUUCAUGACUGGGGUAAAGUCGUAACAAGGUAGCCGUAGGGGAACCUGUGGCUGGAUCACCUCCUU
rnacentral:rRNA from 1 species